UACGUAGGGUGCAAGCGUUGUCCGGAAUUACUGGGCGUAAAGAGCUCGUAGGCGGUCUGUCGCGUCGGCUGUGAAAACUCGGGGCUCAACCCCGAGCCUGCAGUCGAUACGGGCAGACUAGAGUGUUGCAGGAGAGACUGGAAUUCCUGGUGUAGCGGUGAAAUGCGCAGAUAUCAGGAGGAACACCGGUGGCGAAGGCGGGUCUCUGGGCAACAACUGACGCUGAGGAGCGAAAGCGUGGGUAGCAAACAGG
rnacentral:rRNA from 1 species